rnacentral:rRNA from 1 species
AUGGAGGCGGAUGACUGGGAGGAGUUACAGUUGAAAGCGGCUGGGACUAUACGGUUGUGUCUGUCGGACCAGGUUAUUUAUCAUGUGAUGGAUGAGAAUUCGCCGAAGAAGAUCUGGGAGAAGCUGGAAAGUCAGUUUAUGUCCAAGACUGCAACGACCGAGGUGUAUCUGAAGCAAAAGUUGUAUGGGAUGAAGAUGGAGGAGGGGUUAUGUGACGCCCCCGAUUCAAUCGUACACUAA